ACAGAAGUAGCAAAACAAAAUUGUUUAAAGUGAGAAAAAGGAUGAAAUUAUUAAAGUAGAGUACAUGAAAGCAGGAUAGCACAAAUAGGUAACAUUAUGAAAUAUUUUCUGUACGAGUUCUUAAUGUUUUACGUUUUAAAGGUUAGUCCUUUUUGGAGCUUCUUAUCUGUUGUUGUUGUGUUAUUUGUUGUAUUUAGUUUGUAGAUUGUGUUGGAUGAAGAAAAAGGACAGCUGAAAGCUACUAAUAUGGAUGGAAAGAUUCGUAAUUUCUACAGCCUUGAAGCUACGUUAUGCCAUUCUAAAAGUGUUGUCCAUCGCUUGUGAAUUUUUAUGUUUUACUUUCUUGUCCAUUUUGAUGUCAUUGUGCAGGUUAUAUGUCAUUUUUAUUCAUAACAAGGACAUUAACGACAAGCUCUAUAGUAACCUUUGUAUGAGAAUUCUUACAAUUAUGAGGUUAAUGUAAUUCAUA
rnacentral:lncRNA from 1 species